rnacentral:rRNA from 1 species
AGCGAACGCUGGCGGCAGGCCUAACACAUGCAAGUCGAACGAAGUCUUCGGACUUAGUGGCGGACGGGUGAGUAACACGUGGGAACGUGCCCUUUGGUACGGAAUAACUCAGGGAAACUUGAGCUAAUACCGUAUGUGCCCUUCGGGGGAAAGAUUUAUCGCCAUUGGAGCGGCCCGCGUCUGAUCAGCCAGUUGGUGAGGUAAAGGCUCACCAAGGCGACGAUCAGUAGCUGGUCUGAGAGGAUGAUCAGCCACAUUGGGACUGAGACACGGCCCAAACUCCUACGGGAGGCAGCAGUGGGGAAUCUUGCGCAAUGGGCGAAAGCCUGACGCAGCCAUGCCGCGUGAAUGAUGAAGGUCUUAGGAUUGUAAAAUUCUUUCACCGGGGACGAUAAUGACGGUACCCGGAGAAGAAGCCCCGGCUAACUACGUGCCAGCCGCCGCAGUAAAAC